GGGGAAUAUUGCACAAUGGGGGAAACCCUGAUGCAGCGACGCCGCGUGAGUGAAGAAGUAUUUCGGUAUGUAAAGCUCUAUCAGCAGGGAAGAAAAUGACGGUACCUGGCUAAGAAGCCCCGGCUAACUACGUGCCAGCAGCCGCGGUAAUACGUAGGGGGCAAGCGUUAUCCGGAUUUACUGGGUGUAAAGGGAGCGUAGACGGUGAUGUAAGUCAGAUGUGAAAGCCCGGGGCUCAACCCCGGGACUGCAUUUGAAACUAUGUUGCUGGAGUGCAGGAGAGGUAAGUGGAAUUCCUAGUGUAGCGGUGAAAUGCGUAGAUAUUAGGAGGAACACCAGUGGCGAAGGCGGCUUACUGGACUGUAACUGACGUUGAGGCUCGAAAGCGUGGGGAGCAAAC
rnacentral:rRNA from 1 species